CUUUGCAAUAAACUGCACAUGGGCUGGCUCACAGCCAGGAGGAAAUCUUUGUGAGCAAUCAGGAGGAGAUGUGGUGCUGCCACGAGACAUUCAGGGCUGGAAAAGCAAUGCUAACUGGUUGUGCUGAAGGAGUCUCAGACCACUGCUGCCACUCAGAUGUGGCCUCUGCAGAGCCCUGCGUGGCUGGGAUGUGGGCUUGGAUCCAGCCUAGGUCACCUGUGUCACCGCGGUGCCUCCCAGAGCAGUGCAAUAGGGUGAAACCAUUUGGACUUCGAGUCCCGUGGAGUAUCUUUGGAACUAAUUCACAGCCCAUGAGGCAGAGACCAUUCUCCAUUCACUUUGCCCUGCAUACCAUGGUGCCUGCAUCCAGAGCUCGGAGAUGCAACAGAGGAUGGUGAAAGGCCAGCAGCAGAUAUCAGAAAAGUAGAAAUUUUUUAUAGAACUUCUACUAUCCAUUGAGAGCUUUGGAACCAACUCCUCUCCCUUUGAAUCCAUAACUUGUUCUCACUACACAUGAAGGUUUUCAGUGCAAGUAUAUGAGAUUAUUCAUUUCCCUACAUUCUCCAGCCCCAUUAAAUCUCAACUUUCAUCAUGAUUUUCAAAGACACUUCAAGUCCUUUUCAACAGUUUUGAGAAACUUGCUGGGAGGGAAUGCAUUUCCAAACUAUCUGUUUUCUCAUGAAAACUGAGUUUUGCCUGGAUGCCAGGGUCAGCAGACGUUUUAUAAAUAGGUUUGGACAGAUGACAGGAAAUGAUGUAAGGUAUCAGUCCACUCCACAGAGGGCAACUGUCUGUAGUGCCCAGGAAAGAGGGACUCACACCACUGACUGCUACACAGGAAAAACAACAACAAAAACAACAACAAAAAACCAAAACAACUGCAGAGAAGCAUCACUUACUGCAGAGGGUUUCAGGUUUGUGAAGCACAAGAUCUCUGGCCUCCAUAUUACAGCUCAAGCAAAAAAAAAAAAAGUAUUUGCUUGCACCUACACUACAGUGAAAACCAGGACAAUUAAAUUUUCCUUUGAAGAGGAAAAAUUGAGCAGAAUUGUCUAAACUCGCUUUGUCUUUUACUAAUAAGGAGGAGCUUUCUGCUCCUGACAUGCUCUAAAUGCCAGCAGGCAUUGGAGAUUCUCCAGACUGUGACUGGUGCCAAACACCGGGAUCAUCUUCUUACCCUGGCAUUUACCAUCAGCUUCAGCAAAGUCUCUUCCAAUUCAAACUGCUUUAAAUGGGCUCCAAUUAUAGCUGCUUAGAAGUUAAUCUUUAUCUAUUCAUUUGAUCCCAAUAACUAUCUGCUCCUCUUCGCAAUAUCAGUACAGAUUGGAGAAGCAAUUCACUGUCUCAUUUUGUUUCUGUCAGCCUUCACAAAGGUAAAACUCAACCACUUACUCCCAAAUAAAUGCUUUUGUUGCAAGAGGGGCAAAGUCCACAGCAGAAUUCUCAACGGGUUGAACUUCAGCACGUUAACUGCAGCCUUCCCCCAAGGUGCAGCUCUUCCUAACACCAGCAAGCCCUGCUCACCCCAUUCCUCACCACGCUUUCACACCACCACUGACUGACAGCGCUCUGUGUAACAGCAGGCUACAAGCGCUAGUGAGACACAGUGACCUACCCAGCAGAUGUGCCUGCUGUCUCUCAGUGCUGAGAGCAGCACGGCUGCAGCGUGCAGAAGAGCUGUCUUUGGAGGAGCACCAAGCACUCACGUGCAUUUGCACACAGCUCCUCUGCCCAGCCACAUCCCCACAACCACCUGCAGUGCCAUCUCAUGCAGAGUCAGCCCCAGGCACACUAGCAUGAGGCCUCUGCUGGUGUUUUUCUUUACCAAAGAGUUAACAUUUGGUCCUUCUGGUGGCCCUGCUUUUAGAAGUGGAGAGUUUCUGCUCAUCGUUUGUUACUUAUCUGUUCCCAUGACAGACAAAACAGCCUAGAAGCGCUCCCUACCUAUGGCAGGAAUACGUAAUACACGAUGCGUUUCUUAAGCUUCUGUACCGAGUAACUGACUUUAUCAAUGCUGUGAAUUUAUAAAACUCUACAGAACUUGAUUUUUUUUUUGCACUGAAAGCAUUGCAUCUGACUGAAUUUUUGUUGUUUUGGAGAUAUACAGUUAUUAUCUCUAUCAGGCAGUAUUGAAAGAGAACCGUCCCAAACCUUCUCUAUUAAAGUCUGUGCAAAAAGAAACAGAAUCCAUCUGCCUAUAUGUAAAUUCCAGAAAUUAAAGCAAAUCUAGUCGUUAGUGGUGUUCACACAUGGUGUGUGUGCAUGCGAGAAAGAGUCUGAGAGGAUACAGGAGAAGGUGGGCAAGGCUGUCAGCCUCUGUAGAGCUCAUUGAGAAUACCAGGGCGUGAGAUCCAACUGUCCUUAAUGAUCACCAGCAUAAAAAACAAACAAACAAAAAAACCCUAGAACUGUAAACCUGGACCUCAUUCUUUUCUGCACUUGUAAAGAAAACCUAUAUACACUAUUUGCUUCCUGACCCUACAAGAAAAAGUGUCUACAUGCCUAUUCAUUGAACAGGCUGUUCCACAUAGACAUGUUCUUCUUGUACAGAGCUAAUGCAGACUGCUUCACAGAAAUAUCUCCACAGGACUUUCCAGUGCUGAGAAAUCACUGAGAAACAGCCCAAUCACAUCACAUACAAUCAUGUUUGGUACAGAGCUGUUAGAACAAAAACUUAUGAGACACCACAUGCACCUAAAGCUGGAUUUUGUGGCAGGGGGGGAAGAUAUUCUGCCCUCAUUCUUUCUGUUUAAUGAAACAUCGGAGAAGCAUUUAAGGCUCAGCUAAAAUCAAUUACUGAUAAGGCUAUUUUAAUAAACAGAAAUAUUGCUAACCCUUAUCUCAAAUUUCUUCUUAUUGUUUAAUCUGGACACUCCCAAAACAAAGGCAUCUGAGAUCAGCCGAAGAAGGAGAGUUUCAACCUUUGGAUCAGCUCUAAUUGCAAUACUUCAUUCUCAUGAUUGCUGCAAUUCAAUAGACCUUGAUGUCAUAAUAGAAAUUACAUGGCUGCUCUUGCUGUCAUCCAGGGCAAUGUAACUGAGCACAUAUGGACACUGUCUAAUGUUCCUGGCAUCUCACAGUGCCACGAGCCAGGUGAAAGCCCAGUCUCUUUUCCCUUGCACCCAUUAUAACAGAAGACAGGUGCACAAGUCCAUUCAUUCUUUUUCAGCUGCAAGAAAAUAUUUGUGACAAGGCCAGGCUACUCAAUGUGACAUUACACUUGGUCACCCAAAGCAAUGAAGUAUAAGGCUUCAGCCACUGAACAGGGGAAAGACUCUUCCUGGUACUCUGUCUUGAAUGAACAGUCCAGAGGGAUGGACUGCAGCCUACAAACCCCUCAUCUUUUCCUUGUUAUUAAGUUCUCCAAAACAGAUAGCCUCUCUAAGCUUUAAAUUGUCUCAGAAAAGACAUACCCUUUAUGCCAAGGAUGGGUGCAAGUCUCACCCCUUGCCAACAGAGUCCAACCAUCCUGACAGGUCUGGACAAAGAGUAUCCUUUGUGCUGCUCCAAAAUCCUUCUUCAAGGGCAACACCAAGGAAGAGCUGACCCUCAGGUUGGCCUGUUACACACACACUGUCUUCAAAAUGCAGUGCCAUAUUCACUAAAAUGAAAUUGCUGUUUUCUGCCCCAGCCCAGCAAAGGUUUCAGAAUGUCAGCUAUUUAUUUUUUCCUGUCAGACUACCCAGGCUGGUAUUUCCACAGCUGCAUGGACUGUCUAAAUGCUUGAGAAAAGUGAGAUUAUAAUGGUCUGUGAUAAUACUCCUGUUUCAAUAAUUAAGGCAAUUCAUUUACUUGGAGAAAAAAUGAUUCAAGGACUGUAUGUACAAUUUGCGUUCAAAGUACUACCCUGAACCCAGUGCUUAUCAUCCUUGGUCCAAUGAUACUUGUUAGUAAACAAGACAGAUGUAAUCAUUGCUAGGAGUAAUAGUAAAUCAGUGGCAAGGCUUGAACAGGCCAUUGUCAAGUUGGAAAACUUCAGCCAAGCACAUGCAGUAACUGCUGAAAUCAAAUGAAAAAGCAGAGCAGUAAUUGAAACUUUUGAACCUUUUUACACAGAGGAGCACGAAAAUUUAUCUUCCUGAUUGCUCUAACGUUUCAGAUAGCAGGAGAACAUGGGAAUAUGGCCUUAAUGUCAGCUAGUAAACUUCUGUGACCUUUCAAGGGAGCUAUAUCUGCCAUGACGAUCGUGGUAAUCAGAACAAGCUCUAUCUGCUCUGACACAGGUUGGCUGCAUGAGCAGAUACCUCUUUUUCUCUCCACAAGUGCUCAGCGCUUUGCUUCAUUCAUUGUACAAGACAGACAGUGCUCACCUGAUUAGCAGUAAUUGGAUACCAGGAAAAAUAAAAUCCAUGUACUGCCCUAUGUCUUAUUCAUCACGUCCUGCCCUGGUCUGAGGACAGAAUCACAGGCGAUUUUUUCACUUUACAGGGCUUAAGGGUUCUGCAAAUAUCCAUUAAUUUUAUUUCUCCAAUCUGCAAAGCUACCAGGAUAUCAUCAUUUUCACUAUUUUGAACAGAGUCACAAAGAUCAAUGUCACAGUAACCGUUAAUAGCAGCCAAUUUGAAAUUCCUAGAACUUUCGAAGCAAUCGCUACUUUAUUCUACCGUUCAGGUUUUCAAAGUGAUUGGUACUUCUUUCACCAACUGCAGACCCACAACGUUCUGAAUUUUGAGCAUUUGCAGAUAAUUCGAGGCUUUGUCCAGGUUGGACUCCCCCCAGCACCAGAACAUCCCCAUGUGGCUGUGUUUGCACACCCUCCACACCAGCCUCUCCACCCCCUUUCAGCUGCUCCACUGAUUUCCCAUUCAAUUCCCAGUUGCUAUUUGCUUUUCAAAUUCAAGUAAGAUUUGUUACGUUUUUUACAAAGUUUUCUCUCCAACCUAUUCCUUAAAAAUUCCCAACUCAUUCAGUACUCAUUUCUUCUGCAUUUGAGCCAAGCAGCUGCUUCCAGCUUCUUACCCGCAGGAGCCUUUGAAAGCAGCACAUGUGAGGAACGGUCCACUUACAUCAUAUUAAGGUGCCCCAACCCAACAAAACCUGCAGCAGCCCACAGAUACAGUCACAGGAGAAUUCCUAUUUAGAAGUUUUUUCAGCUGGAACACACCCAGUACUGACAGACUGCUUGGGGAAUUUGUCUGCUACCACAUCUAUCCAGCCUACCAAACCUGAGGUCUCCAGUUCAUAUACAUUAAGAGAUUUUCCACAAGGAUAAAACACAGCUUUGAUUCCCAAUUUCAAGAAUGUCCUCCUGUUCUGGAACAGGCAAGGGACUUCUAAAGACUUUGUUCACCUGCUUUAAAAGUAGGGCAAAAUCAAUGCUUUCCUCCAGCUCAGUUCUUGUUAAAUGGCAAAGCAGUUGAGCUAAAUAUUCCAGCAAAGUUCAGAUUUGGAAGCGUACCCGGCACAAAACCUUUCUAUCCAAAGACUUACUUAACAGUCAGUCAAGUUGCAUCUAUCCAAAAAGAGGCAUGUGCUCCCCCAGACUGUGGCAAUGCAGGAGCUCCACGGCCUCACCAGAGCCACGCUGUGCUUUGCCAUGCCACUGCCCUAAAGCUGCUCCCCAUCACUUCUCCCUGUGGCAAAGGAACAGACACACAGCUGCUUCUCCGUACCCAGACCCCUAUCAGGCUGCACUGCACUUCUAGGCAGCCUUUUCCUGACAUGCCCUGGGAGCUUGAAAGCCACUAGUCAUGCUGAGAGUCAGUAUGAGGGCCUUCUCACAUGAGAACAUAUAAGAGCUGAAAAAGAGAGGAUCUGUGUUUCUUUGACCAAAGGAGCACCGGCGGUGCGGAGGUGUGGGGGCACAGAGAGGCUGCGCUCUGCUGCUGGGGGUGUGGAGGGCUCUAUUCGAUACGCCCUACGAUUCCCUGUUCCACAAAAAUAUUCCAUGAUUCUAUGAACUAAUCUCCAUCGUCAGCUUCUCCAUAACCUCAGCUUUUGGCUGGUUGGAGGGACUGUGCUCAGGGGAUAGGAAGAGAUAGCAAUAAGGCAGCGUUAGCUUGGCUUUCAGGUGGUGACAGCGGCUGUAACUUGUUAUUAUCUCCACAUGACAAGCACUCCAAGACACCCCCACACCAAUCCUAUUAUGAAAAGCUAGAUUUCACAAAGCUGUUUUCCAACAUGUCAUACCCAGGUUUUGUGGCUUCCCCUGACAGUUUCACAAAGACAGGUCACAGCCGAGGAGCACAAGCCGGGGCCUGGCCUGGCCCACAGGCCCUUCCCACAGCCCCGCUCUCUGGCUUUCAUGGCGGCUGUUCCACCUGUCUGUCAUUCAGCAGCAGGUUGGCUCCUGGGGUCUUUACUGAGUGAGGGACAUGAGCAGGAGAUCCCAAAAUGAGACCUGUCCCUCCUGCUCCCCCUGCUCACAUGAGCCACCCUCCGUCACCCUGCAGGGCCUCGCUCGGUGCUGCCGGCAUCACCUGAAGAAAGCACGCAAGUUGCUUGUGAUCCUUCAGCAAAAUGCUCACAGUUACGGCAAGCAGAAGCCUAGGAGAUACAUCCCCAAAUUCACCCUUCUGUUCUUUAAAACUAGUGUUUAUUUGUGUUGCAG
ensembl:lncRNA